rnacentral:lncRNA from 1 species
CCCGCGGUGGGCAGUACAGCCCUGGGGCACGUCUUUUCAGGGGUGGGCGGGCUCUGCCCGCCGGCUGGCCGUUGGGACGUGAGGCGGGCAAGGGGGACGCUCGGGAGCGGCUGGCGGAGGUGGUCCUGGCUUCCGAGCGCUGCCGGUGUGCGGGCCUGCUCCGUCACCCGCCUCUGGGCCUGGGCCGACGGGUGUGUCGGCCGGGGCGUCGGGCGGUGCUGGCCCCGGCCGGGGUCACCGGGGCCUGCGGGCUCCCGCGGAAGGGGAGGUGACGCUCCGCGGGCCUUGCACUUGCCGAGUGCUAGGAAGGCGCUGUUCAGUGCACUGUCGCGGUCGUUUAACGACGACGGGGACAUGUCCAAGGAAGCGCUGCUGAGCGGCUUCACGGUUGUGCGACUGUCGCAGUGCACGCGGGCACACAGCCGGGCCGCGGCCCUAGUCUCGCGGGAGCACCGUGGACGUGCCGCCCGUCGUUAACCGAGACGUCGUUAGGCGGCGCAGGCUGCCUUCAAGGUGUUAGCGCGCGCGCGCACUCCGUCGCGAGUGGUGCGCAGAGGGCGCUGCGUGGGAGGUACCGCUCUGCUGCUCCGGACUCUGAGCUGCCUUAGGGAUGGGAAAACCCCAGCAGGAUAGGCCUUCCUAUGCGUAUAUGAAAUGAAAGCGUUUCGGCUCAAAUAACGUUCCCCAGGGGGCGCCCAGCAGGUGUCCUCAGCAGGAUGCCAACCACUUCUCUGAAAGGAGCUGCAGUGACAGAGCCUCGUGUCUUCAGGACAAAACAGCCAUAUCCCAUAGGCCACUUUGCUGUGCAGAUAGGAGGACAAAAGCCUGUAAGAAGAAGAGGACUGCCAACCAAAGACUAAACUGCAAUCACAGCCCUGUUCGAGGCACUGAAUAAAAGACUUGCUGCUAGCGUGAACUUUUCCAGUGGGCGGAGCAUUUACAUGCAUUGGUGACUUUGCCAAGUUCUCAUUAGUAAUUCAAGUAGGCUUAAGUUCGGUGAGGGCAAGAACCACAUUUAUUGUGUCUAUCGUCAUAUCCUCAGGCUAGCAUAGUGCCUGCUGCAAUGUGAAUGAAUAAACCACACCUCUCUCCUCCUCCGUCUGUGAGUCUGUCUGCAG